CACAGGGAUACUGUCCAAUGUCUCUGUGAGAACUGCUAGCAAGUUUGCUUCAUUCUCUUCAUCUAUCUUCUGUGGAAACAAAGGGAAGAAAGGGAGAAAGGUCUAACUUGCAAAGAAGAAUUUUCAUGGCACAGCUGUCCAUAUGGAAAGUGUGCGGAAUGUAUCACUAGGACUGGCCUCUAGCUCCAGCAAACAUCCAGUCAGAGGUGGACAACGUGUGGCACUCAACUCAAACCAACCCUAACCAGCACAACCAAAAUGUUAUGAGAAGAGCCUUGAGACGCACCAGAUACAGAACUGCAAAUGACCACCUCUGAUCUAAGGAAAGUAUCGAUGCAGGCAUGCCAUUCGCACAGGAACAGUGCUCUUUAGCAAGCAAAGGCCAUCUUAAGAGUCACUGUAGUUAGAAGUACCUUCUUUGCUGCCGUUACUCUGGAUAUUGUUGAAUGUUUAUUCCUGAAUUAAUAUGCAUAGUCAGUUACUAAAUAACUGACUGCAUUUUUUUUAUUAUAAGCUAUCUUGAGCAGUUUUGUGAAAACUGAGUGUUUGGCUUGGAUCCCAUCUUAAAUCUGAGCUGAAUGCUACAAAUAUUUGUGUGCAUGAGCAUGAAUUUAUAUGUGUGCCUUAAAGUCACCUGUGAACUUGUGGCGACCCCAUGGAUUUCAUAGGUUUUUCUUAGGUAAGGAAUACUUCACGGUGAUUUUACCAGUUCCUUCUUCCAAAAUAUAGCCUAUAACACAUGGUAUUCAUUGGUGGUCUUCCCUCUAAGUAACUAGAACUGACCCUGUGCAGAUCACAUGGGAUAUAAUGCCUUUCUACCUUCCUGCCCCAUGUCUCAUAUAACAUUAAAAAGGAAUGGGUCUCUAGCAACUUUCCAGACAAUGUUGGAUUGCAAGUCAUACAACCCUUUCAACAUAAACUAUGGGAUGGGAUAAUGGGAGUUUCAGUCUUGCAACUUCUAUACAGUCACAAGUUGCUCAUCUUUGACAUAUAUCUUUCUACAGGAAAACGAAAGAAAUAUUGGCCUUUUGGAAUUUUGGCAGUAAAUGGCAACCAAGACAUGGCAAUCAAUAAGCUCAUCAACUUCUGCUCAUUCCCACAAGUGGAGGAAUGCACAAUCAUAGAAGAAUUUCAAGUAGUCAUGUAGGGUUUCUGCAAAAAAAAAAAAUGGAUCUGAAAAAUGUAUAAUGGUAUCUUAUCCAGCAUGUUUAUGUGGAAAUUAUUUCACUGGAAAUUUGUGACAAAAUAAUGAGAAUAGAAUAUAUUUUCUCUAUAUUUAUCCAAAAAAAAAAUGACUACACUUGAAAAUACAGUUCUCUUUUCUUUAUGUCACAUAACUAAAAAGAUCCUUAAUAUAUAUAUCUUAUAUCAACAGUUUUAAGAUUCUUUUGCUGAGGCAUGACUGUAGUACCUUGAACUUCACCCACUCUACAUUAUUUGUCAGUUAAGAGCCCCUGGUGGUACAGUGGGUUAAACCUGUCAUAGUUUGCAAAGGCACUAUGCUGUGUGUGUUAACUGGAAAAUGAAGUGCAUGAAGCUGAUUGGCUGAGCCUGCAAAGAUCUGGGGAUUGAAUUGGUACUGUUUCUGUUCUGCUGCUGCAGAACCAGUUUGGACAAGUUUUUCAAUGCUGACUGAGUACUGCUGAUGAAGAGAAGCAGUGUACUCCGAGAGGCCUUGCUAUUUUGAGGCCUGUUUGCUGCUGAGAAAAGAGGGGGAAGAACCAGGGCUGUAUUCUUCUCUGAAGCAGAUUUGUUGACUGAGAAAAGACUAGUUAUGACUGUAGACUUCUGUAAGUGAUCUGACGGACCAUUGUAAAUACUAUUUUUUAUCUCUUGGAAUUAGUAAAGUUCCUGUAUUUUUGUUCUGCAA